UCUUCAUGUUGUUUAUCACUGAAGCUAAAGAAUUGAGAUACAACAAUCUUUGACUGACUUUAGGUGUGGCGAUCGAAGGUGGACAGCAAGAUCGAAGCUCAGCAAGAUUGAAGAUUGUUCGAGGAAGAAGGAGUUCGCCGUUGACUAAAAGGUUUAUCUGAACAGCUAGUUGUCAAGAUGAAGGUGAAGACUCGCCCGGCCAAAUUCAAAAUGGCGAUGCCAAAGAAAACCAUCCACGUGGACCGUUCGCGGACCUUUCUGAGCAAGAUUGUUG
rnacentral:lncRNA from 1 species